CCCGCCCUGCCUUACUUCAGCGGUCUCCUCCUCUGGGAGUUCCUCAGCCAUCACCUCAUAUUGAUCGACAGCCUCAUAUUUAGUGAGGAGGAGAAGACCUGGGAAGUGAGCUUUCAUGUGAAACCCUGUCGGGAAAGCAGAACUAAGAAAUGCAAAGAGGAGGGAGGCCAUGAAGAGCAAGAGGUUUCCACCGAUCCGGUGGGCAAAUAAAAUGACUAAACAAAGCGAGCAGCCACUGAUCUUCAAAGAUGAACAUCAAAGAAAACACUAGAAGAUUUUGUCCUCCACGCCCCGCCCCCCAGGGGUGGAUGAGGUUGCAUCAGUUCACACUAACAACGGCUUUGUAAACCCAAAUGCUGACAAAGGGGAGCGGAAGAACGAGACAAGAAAGUAAUUAGAAAAAGAUAGAAAAACCAUCUGGCAAACUUUUAUAGAGAAAACACGAGGAAGGCAACGAUCCCACAGAUCCCAGUUUGUAAACUCCGACGAUGCUUUGUGAGCGAGCAACCUACAAAGAGGCUAUGGCAUAAGGGAAGGCGAGCAGAAAGCGUAAUGGUGAGACCCUGAAGUGCGUUCAAAGCAGAAGCCAUUAAAGAUGAGAAGGAGACCACUUAAAAUGGGCAAAAUGUGGCCUGUGAAGAACAUUUAAUGGGAGUAAGGUCUUACGUGUCAACCCAGAAAUGCACGUGUACACAGCAAAAAGUUUCCGUAUUUAUAAAUAUUUAAAACCAAUCCUUUGUGGAU
rnacentral:lncRNA from 1 species